GUNGCCGCCUAGUGUAGUUACAGACCNGAAAGUCGCCUUCGCCACUGGUGUUCCUCCAUAUCUCUACGCAUUUCACCGCUACACAUGGAAUUCCACUUUCCUCUUCUGCACUCAAGUCUCCCAGUUUCCAAUGACCCUCCACGGUUGAGCCGUGGGCUUUCACAUCAGACUUAAGAAACCACCUGCGCGCGCUUUACGCCCAAUAAUUCCGGAUAACGCUUGCCACCUACGUAUUACCGCGGCUGCUGGCACGUAGUUAGCCGUGGCUUUCUGGUUAGGUACCGUCAAGGUGCCAGCUUAUUCAACUAGCACUUGUUCUUCCCUAACAACAGAGUUUUACGACCCGAAAGCCUUCAUCACUCACGCGGCGUUGCUCCGUCAGACUUUCGUCCAUUGCGGAAGAUUCCCUACUGCUGCCUCCCGUAGGAGUCUGGGCCGUGUCUCAGUCCCAGUGUGGCCGAUCACCCUCUCAGGUCGGCUACGCAUCGUUGCCUUGGUGAGCCGUUACCUCACCAACUAGCUAAUGCGACGCGGGUCCAUCCAUAAGUGACAGCCGAAGCCGCCUUUCAAUUUCGAACCAUGCAGUUCAAAAUGUUAUCCGGUAUUAGCCCCGGUUUCCCGGAGUUAUCCCAGUCUUAUGGGCAGGUUACCCACGUGUUACUCACCCGUCCGCCGCUAACUUCAUAAGAGCAAGCUCUUAAUCCAUUCGCUCGACUUGCAUGUAUUAAGCACGCCGCCAGCGUCAUUCUGAGCC
rnacentral:rRNA from 1 species